rnacentral:rRNA from 1 species
AAUGAACGCUGGCGGCGUGCUUAACACAUGCAAGUCGUGCGCGAAGGCGGCUUCGGCCGCCGGAGAGCGGCGAACGGGUGAGUAACACGUGGGUAAUCUGCCUGGGAGCGGGGGAUAACCUGGGGAAACCCGGGCUAACACCGCAUACGAUGCCGGGACGUUGGUUCCGGCCUGAAAACUGGCCUCUGCUUGCAAGCUAGUGCUCCCAGAGGAGCCCGCGGCUGAUUAGCUAGUUGGUGGGGUAACGGCUCACCAAGGCGACGAUCAGUAGCCGGCCUGAGAGGGUGAUCGGCCACACUGGGACUGAGACACGGCCCAGACUCCUACGCGAGGCAGCAGUGGGGAAUAUUGGACAAUGGGCGCAAGCCUGAUCCAGCAACGCCGCGUGGAGGAUGAAGGUCUUCGGAUCGUAAACUCCUGUCAGACGGGACGAAGGUCUGUGGGUGAAUAAUCCGCAGGCUUGACGGUACCGUCAGAGGAAGCCCCGGCUAACUCCGUGCCAGCAGCCGCGGUAAUACGGAGGGGGCGAGCGUUAUUCGGAAUUAUUGGGCGUAAAGGGCGCGUAGGCGGUUCGACAAGUCAAAGGUGAAAUCCCUCGGCUCAGCUGAGGAACUGCCUUUGAAACUGUCGAGCUUGAGUCCGGGAGGGGGUAGCGGAAUUCCCAGUGUAGCGGUGAAAUGCGUAGAUAUUGGGAGGAACACCGGUGGCGAAGGCGGCUACCUGGACCGGAACUGACGCUGAUGCGCGAAAGCGUGGGUAGCAAACAGGAUUAGAUACCCUGGUAGUCCACGCUGUAAACGAUGGGUGCUCGGUGUCGCGGGUAUCGACCCCUGCGGUGCCUUAGCUAACGCGUUAAGCACCCCGCCUGGGGAGUACGGUCGCAAGGCUGAAACUCAAAGGAAUUGACGGGGGCCCGCACAAGCGGUGGAGCAUGUGGUUUAAUUCGAUGCAACGCGAAGAACCUUACCUGGGCUUGAACUGUGGUGGACGUCUCUGGAAACAGGGGU